GGAGGUGAAGGUCAUCAAAGAGGAGGGUCGUGGAGGUGAAGGUCAUCAAAGAGGAGGGUCGUGGAGGUGAGGGCCAUCAAAGAGGAGGGUCGUGGAGGUGAGGGCCAUCAAAGAGGAGGGUCAUGGAGGUGAGGGCCAUCAAAGAGGAGGGUCGUGGAGGUGAAGGCCAUCAAAGAGGAGGGUCGUGGAGGUGAGGGCCAUCAAAGAGGAGGGUCGUGGAGGUGAGGGCCAUCAAAGAGGAGGGUCGUGGAGGUGAGGGCCAUCAAAGAGGAGGGUCGUGGAGGUGAGGGCCAUCAAAGAGGAGGGUCGUGGAGGUGAGGGCCAUCAAAGAGGAGGGUCGUGGAGGUGAAGGUCAUCAAAGAGGAGGGUCGUGGAGGUGAGGGCCAUCAAAGAGGAGGGUCGUGGAGGUGAAGGUCAUCAAAGAGGAGGGUCGUGGAGGUGAGGGCCAUCAAAGAGGAGGGUCGUGGAGGUGAAGGUCAUCAAAGAGGAGGGUCGUGGAGGUGAGGGCCAUCAAAGAGGAGGGUCGUGGAGGUGAAGGCCAUCAAAGAGGAGGGUCGUGGAGGUGAGGGCCAUCAAAGAGGAGGGUCGUGGGGGUAUUGACACUACAGUGGCUGUGUCACUACAGGUCAAAUACCUGUGGCUGGCAGGGGAGCGAAGACGGAGAGGAACCAAAGAGUAAAAGCCAGAGGGCCUUUUGAAGUUCAUCCCAGCCGAGGGCCAGAGAAGUUCAUCCUAACCCAGAGAUGCUCCAGACCAACUGCUCGCUGGUCCAGCUGGGUCUGCUGACCUUUGACCUGUGUGUCAACUCCUCCAGUGAGCUGCUCAGGGCAGUGCCUGUCAUCCAGCUAGUGGUGUUCAUGUACGUACAUGAUUGGUUUUGUAGCCUGUUAAUGAUUCAAAUGUUUUUGAACUUAAUAGCUAGUUAUUUUUCUUUUGUUGUUUUUGAAAAUGUUCCAAAAUCUUUCCCAAUAACAACCAGGUCUUCCUUUGUUUAUAAUUACUGUAAUGUUGUUUAGGCCUAACUGUGAUUUAUAACCUGUGUUCCAGCAUCCAGGACAUAGCCUCGCUGUUCAACGUGAUCAUCAUUCUGCUGAUGAUGCUCAACACGCCCGUGUUCCAGGUCGGCCUGGUCGCUCUGCUACUGGAGAGGUUUAAAGGCUUGCUGGUGCUGUCUUCCAUCUACCUCACCCUCAGCAUCUCCUUUCACUGCUGGGUAGUGAACCUGAGAUGGUCCACAGUUUGAGCUGGACAAACGGCCUACAGGUUCUCUGUCUUCUGGGUUGGACCUGCACUCUGCUCUCAGUACCACUUAGCCGCAGUGUUGUAUCACUUCUUCUACAAACGGACGACAGUGUCAUGGCGAUUCUGUCUGGCUGAGGGAUGCCAGAGCUCGUCAGUGAGGAGGGAGGGACUGGAGGAUCUAUUACCAAGUGAGGUCUGCCAGACUGGUGACAGACUUUCACUACCUGGGUGGGUCAUGUUCAUUUAACACCAGAAGAAAACUGACAUGGAGUGACUAUCUGGCCUUGUCCAAUAAGAAACGCCCAUUGUUUUCAGUUUCAAAACGUUUUGCUACGGUGUGCUCUACUGAACACGACCCUGGACUAGGAUAGAGCUAGGAGAAAGAGUGGUCCAUCCUGAUAGUUUCUCAGUCAAGAUGCUCCACUAAUAUGGACUAGUGUUGUUACAAGAGGCAGAUGACACUAAAGGACAAUCUGAGGUUUUCCUACAAUGGAUUUUUUUUUAAACAAAUGCAUAAUGGCAAUUCAUUUCAGUGUUUUUACUAAAAUGUGACACCGUCUCACUCCUAUAUGGAACCCUAUAUAGUGCACUACUCUAUUCCCAACAUAGUGCACUACUUUAGACCAGGGCCCUAUAGA